rnacentral:rRNA from 1 species
UACAGAGGUCUCAAGCGUUGUUCGGAUUCAUUGGGCGUAAAGGGUGUGUAGGUGGCGCCGUAAGUCGGGUGUGAAAUCUCGGGGCUUAACUCCGAAACUGCAUUCGAUACUGCGGUGCUUGAGGACUGGAGAGGAGACUGGAAUUCAUGGUGUAGCAGUGAAAAUGCGUAGAGAUCAUGAGGAAGACCAGUGGCGAAGGCGGCUCACUGGACCGGAAACUGACGCUGAGGCGCGAAAAGCGUGGGGAGCAAACGGG